UAGUCAACCAGGGCCAAGUGAGAAUCCUAGCCACAGGAACUCUCAUUUUAUCCACAACAUGCAUGAGGUUUUAUUUGAGGCUGCUUCUCUUCUCUUCUCCUUGGACAAUCUCAGCCAUUCCCAUCAUUCAUAUCCCUCCCAAAUCUAUAACUCAGAUUUCUCUCUGGAGCUCCAGGUCUAGAAUUCUGAGUGCAUACAGCACAUUGAUUCCUGGGUAACCUGAAGACAAUUUAAUCACGUCAUGUCCUUAAGUAAAUUCCUCAUCUUUCCUCAAGCUCCUUCCCUGCCUUCGCUGUCUCAGUUAACAUCUUUACUAUCCACCCAGUUUCAAUGCUAGAAACCUUGCUAUUCAGGUAACAUAUCCAGAAUAUGUAAAGAACCCCUACAACUCAAAAAUAAAAACCAAACAAUCCAACUUUAAAAUGGGCAAAAGAUUUGAACAGACAGCUCAAAAAAGAAGACAUGGAAACAUCUGUUAAGCACAUCAAAAUGGCCUCAACAUCGUUAGUUGUUGGGAAAAGGCAAAUUAAAACCAUGAGUUACCACUUUACAGCAAUUAGAAUAGCUACAAUUAAGAUGGACACCAAAUGUUGGCAAGGAUGUGGAGCAACUGGAACUCUCAUAUACUGCUUGUAGCAGUGUGAAAUGACACGACUACUUUGGAACUCUGAUUAGUAGAAUCUAAUAAAAUUAAAUAUACAUCUACCACUGACCUAGCAAUUCCACUCAGGUAUAUAUCCAAGGUAAAUGAAUCUGUAUGUCCACACCAAAACAUACAUAUGAAUGACACGUGUAUGAACACAUAUAUAUGAGGCCUUGAACUCAAGCAGGUCCUGCCCCCAGCCCACUUUUAAGAGUGGGGCCAGUGCCCAGCUUUACUCAUAAUAGCCCCAAAUUGGGAAGAACCCAAAUAUCUAUUAAUAGUAGAAAGAAUAAAAACAACUGUGGUAUAUUCAUAUAAUGGAAUGCUACUCAGCACAAGAAAGGAAGAAAUUACUGAUACAUGUGUCAACAUGGAUGAAUUUCACAAAUCUUACAUUGAGCAAAAGAAGCUGGACCCCAAAGAAAAUAUACAUGUAUUCCAUUUAUAUAAAGUUCAGAAACCAGCAAACUAAUCUAUGGUGAUAGGCAUCAGAAUGGUUAUCUUGGGAGAAUGGAGCAAUUUAACUGGAAAGAGGAUAUAAGUAAACUUUCUGGGGUAAUAGGUAUGGUUUUCUAUCUUGAUGCAAGUGGUGGUCACAUGAUGUGUACAUACGAAAAAGUUAUUGAGAUGUUCACUUAAAAGUUGCAUAUUUCACUCUUUGUAAAUUUUAUUAAUUCAUAGAACAUGUGGGAAAAGAAAGGCUGUGGUGGGCUUUCAUAUCUCCAUGCCCUUCCUCACUCUGAUUCCUCUGCUUGGAAUGCUCCUCCCCACUUGCUGACCUGAUUCAUUAUUACUGUGUAUUCAUGAUGAUCAGCAGAACCACCGCAAUUGCUAUUACUGGAUAAAUAUAGACUCCCUCUGGCACAUGAGCAAACAGAAAAGUCAAACUAUGAAAACACAAAAAAAAUUCAGAAUUUCAAAAGAAAGGGAAGGAUGUGGUCAGAGAAAAUGAGUAUCCCUUGAAACUAAAUUUCCAUAGAAAAAAAAUUUUUGAAGCAUUACUCAUAAGUGUUCUCAAUGAUAUUUGGGAGGAUAUUGCAUUUAUAAAUGUAGUAGACUGAGUCAUUAUAAAAAGUUCAAGCUGAGAUUAGGAAACGUUUUUGAAUCACCAAAUUUAAAAUCAGUAGAGACAACAGACAGCAGAAUGGGCACUGAAGAAGGCUGAAUAUUGAAUUAAAACCUUGAGAAUGUAUCCUAAAAUUCAGAGGAUAAAAGAUAAAUGAUGAAGCCUAUGAGAAAAAUAAGACGAACUGUGACUUUAGAGUAUAGAGAUGUAAUAUAUGUAUAAUAGGCAUUCCACAAGGAGAAGGAAAAUGUAAGAUAUGUGGCUGUUUUUUGUGAGCUGAAGAAAGAUUUGCAUCUUCUCAAAAUGCUAAAUUUUCCAAUAAAAUAUAAAUUACCAAAAAGUGGACUUUUAAAAGGCAUCCAAAUAGUCUCAUAACCAUAAAAUGUUGUAAAUUAGCAAAGAAAUUCUCUUUUGAGAGGCUCCAGGCCCUGCUAGCUACAUGGUGACUUCUAUCAGACUUCAAAGGACAGAAUUGUACUCUGAUUUGAAAAAAAAAUACUGCAGUAAAGGGAAGAAUGUGCGCCAGCUCUCAUGUGAGAAGGAAGUGGAUAUAAGAAAAUAAUGGAUAUACCUGCUCAUCUGUGCCAAAAGCAGCACAAGAAGAAUAAAUGAGAAAUUAGUAAGAUUGGUUACCACAGUGUGGGUGGAAAUGAUGCAGGAAGAAUGGGGGAACAGGGAUGGAGGAUAGAAGGGAGGGAGAGAAAGAGCAAUUAUCUGAGUAGGCUUUUUUGUAUAGUUCUGACUUUCAGAACCAUGAUAAUAUUACAUACAUCCCUGUUCUUGAGAAUAAGUAAACAAAAUAAAUCAGGAUGUGAUGGGAACCCCAAAUGGAAUACAAUCGGUAAUGAAUAGCCUAACCCUUUUUAGAAUUAAUGGAUAACCAUACUGAGGAUGGAUACAAAAUGAACUAAUCUAGUUAGCAAAACUGUCUUUUGACAAAAAAGAAUCAGACACAUACACUGUACUCUAGUUAGUGAAUCUGUUUCUCACAGGGGUGUGGGUUAGCAAUUCUGAAACUCUUUAUAUAGAUGUACUAAAACUGAACAAGUGAGUAAAUAUACUGUAAAUAAUGACAGCCAGGUUUCCCACUGUUGGUGAAAGAAAUUACAAAUAAGGAAAUAUGGGAGGCUAGAAUGAAUCUUGUGGUGUUAGGCUGGAAUUGGGGUGUUAAUGUGUGCACAUGGUUUUUAAUAGAAAGAUACAUAAAUACAUACGUACAUAGGUACAUAGAUACACAUAUACCAAUGAUUGUAUAUUUCCUAGCCCUGUCUUCUGAGCAGGAAGUAAUGACAUCUCAGUAGCAAUGAGGACACCUAGCUCCCACAUCUUGGUGAAAAGGACCCAGGAAAUAAAAAGGAACCAGGACUCCCUGGAGAAAUGGUCAACUGAACAAGAACUGAUUAAAAUGGCCAUUUAAAAGGAUAAGGUGAAUCUAGAACAUCUUGUGGUACUGGGAAAUAAUGAAGUGUUCAAAAAAAAGAUUGAUACUUGUCAAAAGAACACAAGAACCAACUUGAAGGGGCUCCCAAUGACCAAAUCCAGUAUAAUACAUAAUAAUAGUUAUGGAUUAUAGCCUAUAAAAUAAAAGAAAUAUCCAUGAGUCCAUACUGACAUUAAAAUUGAAUAAAUGGAAAAGAGACACCCCUUCUUUAAUGAUAGAAUUCCAAUGACUAAAUAGUGAAAGAGUGAUGGAAUUAGAAAAUUACCAUUUGGUAAACAUCACAGUAAUAAUUUUUACAGACAAGAAUUAUCAAUGGAUGCUAAAUGUGGUGGGCAAAGGUGUGAUGAAUGGGAUAUUGGCUUAGACUUACAUACAGAAGCUUCCCACCAAGAUACUAGUUACAAAGGGAAAAGUAGUGACUUUACAGUGGAGACACCCGGCGACUCUACCUUAACCAAGUGAAAAAAGUUAACAGUAAGAUCAGAGUGAGGCGUAGUGACAUCAUUUACCUCUUGAUUUCAUGCACUGAGAAAUGAUGACAUUUUUUCUGUGGCACUCUUGUCAAAAAUGCCUUCUUUCCUAAUUCUGAGAAAACAUCAGGCUAACCCAAACUGAGAGAUUGUCUAUAAAAUCUCCACAGUGUGAAGGUCAAGGAAACACAGAGACUGAGGGACUGUCACAGGUGAUCACACAGCCCUGAAAUGUAAUGAGGGAUUCUGCAUUGGAUCCCGGACCAGAGAAAAGACCCCUCCCCUCCCAGACAGUCCUUUGGUGUUGCUGCUGAUGGGGGCGUACCUGCUGUCUCAGGUUGGCCUUAUAGAUGUGACCAAACCAGACAUGAUCUAUCGACUUUCAGUUUGCGUCAUCUGUUCUACAUUAUACAGACAAUAUGAUACCUAGUGAUGACCUGGAAUAGGAAGCAAAAAUAGUCCUUAAUAACAAAGGUACUCAUGAAUACAAGGAGCAAAACAAAGAUGUUGCACUGCGGAUGGUGUCAACAAAAUUCUGCAACUCAGGGAAAAACAAUAGGAGAAGAAAAAUAAGAGAAAUUUGUAAAGGAAGAGAAUGUUUUCCAAUACCAACAAUCAAUUCUCUGGACACCAACUGGCUGUUCAAUAAUUUCAAUAAUUGAGUUCAGUUCUGGCACUAACCACCUGGAGUUAACACAGACAUCACAGCUUAAGGGCUCAGCCCCUGUAAGGUUGGCCCCCACUUCAUAUACCAGUCACAAGUCCCAGGGUUCCUGUACUUUUGACCAACUAGCCACAAGCUGGAAGUUCCCACAACUCCCUCGUAAGGUUCAAUAAUUUGCUAGAAAGGUUUACGAAAUUCAGAAAGGCACUUUACUUAUGUUUACCAGUUUAUUAUAAAGGAUACAACUCAGUAAUAGUCAAAUGGGAGAGAUGCAAGGGACAGUGUGUGUGGGAAGGGUGCACAGAGCUUCCACACCCUCUCCAGGUGCACCGCUCUCCCAGUACCUCCAUGUGUUCACCAGCCUGAAAGCUCAUCAAAUUUCUGGUGAAAUGUCCAAAUAUUUUUUCCAAUUUGGGAGUGUGUGUUUGUUAUUACUGAGUUUUGAGAGUUCUUUAUAUAUUCUACACACAAUUCCUUUUUCAGAUACGUGAUUUGCAAAUAUUUUCUUCCACUGUACAAGUGUUUUAUUUUGAUGUAGUCCAACUUACUAAUUUUUUUUUAUUUUGUAGAAUUAUGCUUUUGGUGUCAUAUCUAAGAAAUCUGUGGUUAACCUAACAUGACAAAGAUUUUUAUCCUUUUCUUCUAGAAGUUUUAAAGUUUGGGGUUUUUAAAUUAGGACUAUGAUCUAUUUUAUUUGUUUUGGUGAAGUAUGGAUCCAAAGUUCUGGGGUUUUUUGGUUUUUGUUUAUAUAUGAAUAAUCCAGUUGUUCUAGCACAAUUGUCUCUUUGUCAGAAAUCAAUUGGCCAUUUAUGUGUGGGUCUAUUUCUUGACUCUCUAUUCUGUUUCAUUGAUCAAUUUGUAUGUCUGCAUGCCAGUACCAUUCUGUUUUGAUUACUGUAGUUUUAUAAUGUCAUGAAAUCAGAUAAUGUAAAUACUCUGUCCUUUGCAUUUUCAGAUAAAUCUUAAAAUAAUUUUGUCAGUUUAUACCAAAAUGAUGCCCAGUGAGAUUUCAAUUGGGAUUUCAUUGACUCUAUAGAUCAAUUUGGGCAGAAUAGGUAUCUUAUAAGUAUUGGGUCUUUUGAUCCAUGAACAUGACAUCCUCCAUUUAUUUAGGUUUUCUUUCAUUUAUCUCAGCAGUAUUUUGUAGUUUUCAGUAUGCAGACCAUUGAUGUUUAUGUCAGAUUUGUUACUAGUUAUUUCAUAUUAUUUGAUGCUAUUGUAAAAUAUAUUGUUUUUAAUUUUAAUUUCCAAUUAUUUGUUGCCAGUCUGUGGAGAUACAGUUCAUUUUUGAAAUUUGAUCUUACAUCCUGAAACAUUGCUACACUUGCUUAUUAGUGCUAGUAACUUUUUGUAGAUUCCUUGGGAUGUCUACAUAGACCGUCAUGUUUCUGUGAAUGAAGAUGGUUUUAUUUCUUUGCCUAUCUUUAUUCUUCUCUGCUAGAGUUGUACAUUUUCUGUUGAAUUGUUGAGUUUACCAAUCCUGUCUCCUGCUGUUAAAAACCAUAAGUUAUUAAUCUCAGAUAUCACAUUUAGUUCUAGAACAUCCACUUCAUUCUUUUUAGAUCUAACUCUCCCUUGAAGUUCUCUGUCUUUUCAACCAUUUUGUCUGUCUUUUCCUCUCUUUCCUUUAAUAUGCUUAUAGUAGUCAUUUCAACAUCCUUGUCUGCCUACUUCAACAUCUGGAUCACCUGCAAGUCUGCUCCUGCUGUUUGUUUGUUUUUUUUCUCCAGAUUACUGGCCCUGUUUUCCUGAGUCUAUAUUUGUCACAUUAAUUUCUAUUGAUUAAUUUCUAUGAUGGAUGAUGUUUAUAGAAGAACCAUGGAGACUGAAGGCAAUGUUAUUUUCUCCCAGUGAGGGUUUGCUCUUUCCUCUGUUAGGCACAUAGAGUGAGGGGUUGACCAUCUCAGUCCAGUCAGGAAUGAGCUAGUCCAGGAAUGGUUCACAGCACUAGUUCUUUUCAGUCCACUUCUGCUUUCUAGUGUCUCCAUGGUGAGACCUGUCAUGUGUUUGUUAUAUGCCAACUUUCUACAGCAAGAUUUGGAUAUCAAAGCACUAGAGGACUGCAGGAGACUUCACGCUACCUUCACAACCCAGCUUCUCAGCCUCCGUAUCAUCGCAGCUCUCAGCAAAUAACCCAUGUGGAAAAUCAGGUUGAGGACCCUCUAGAUUCUAGUCCACCUUGCCAGGCCGAGCAACUGUUAAAGGCGCUGCUGAUUUCUCUGAACCCUAUAACAAGCCUGAUCCCCAAUGUGUACCCGGAUUCAACAAAUGUCCUUUGGAAGAAAAACGUUGUUGAUCUUGGAUCACCCAAAAGUUCUUACUUUCCUGAAAAUUUAGUUAAUCUAAUUCUCUUUGCUUUCACAGCUCCUUGAUAUGUCAAAAUAUGACUUCUGUGAUUAUCCAGUUGUUUCUAAUUAUUGUAACAGAUGCUUACCACUACUUACUACAUUCCCCUGGGAAGUAGAAGAGUUCCCCAUAUGGAUUAAACACUUAAAUAUAAAAAAGAGAAUUUUAAAACUUGAAAGAAAAAUAUAGGAGAAUAUCUUUAUGACCAUGGAUUAAAGAAGGACUUUGUAAACAUGAUAGAAAAGUUGUUAUCCUAAAGUAAGGUUAAAUAUUUAAACCACCUUAAAAUUAAUAAUUUUAAUUUUAAAGAAAGUGAAAAGACAAGCCUCAAACUUGGAAAAUGUAUUUCCAACACAUAUAACUGACACUUAACAGCCAGAAUGUGUAAGAUAUUCUUAUAAAU